CCUACGGGAGGCAGCAGUGAGGAAUAUUGGUCAAUGGACGCAAGUCUGAACCAGCCAUGCCGCGUGCAGGAAGACGGCUCUAUGAGUUGUAAACUGCUUCUGUACGAGGGUAAAUCCCGAUACGUGGUCCGGGUUGAAAGUAUCGUACGAAUAAGGAACGGCUAACCUCGCGCCAGCAGCCGCGGUAAUACGGAGGAUUCAAGCGUUGUCCGGAUUUAUUGGGUUUAAAGGGUGCGUAGGCGGUUCGAUAAGUUAGAGGUGAAAUCCCGGUGCUCAACUCCGGCACUGCCUCUGAUACUGUCGAGCUAGAGUUUAGUUGCGGUAGGCGGAAUGUAUGGUGUAGCGGUGAAAUGCGUAGAGAUCAUACAGAACACCGAUUGUGAAGGCGACUUACCAAACUACGACUGACGUUGAGGAACGAAAGCGUGGGGAGCAAACAGGAUUAGAUACCCCUGUAGUC
rnacentral:rRNA from 1 species